rnacentral:rRNA from 1 species
UACGUAGGGUCCGAGCGUUGUCCGGAAUUACUGGGCGUAAAGAGCUCGUAGGUGGUUUGUCGCGUUGUUCGUGAAAACUCACAGCUUAACUGUGGGCGUGCGGGCGAUACGGGCAGACUUGAGUACUGCAGGGGAGACUGGAAUUCCUGGUGUAGCGGUGGAAUGCGCAGAUAUCAGGAGGAACACCCGUAGCGAAGGCGGCACUCUGGGCCGGAACUGACGCUGAGGAGCGAAAGCGUGGGGAGCGAACAGG